rnacentral:rRNA from 1 species
UAGCGAAGGGAGCUAGCGUUGUUCGGAAUUACUGGGCGUAAAGGGCGCGUAGGCGGGUUUCCAAGUCGGGGGUGGAAAUUCCAGGGCUCAACCCUGGGACGGCCUUCGAUACUGGGAGCCUGGAGAUCGGGAGAGGUGAGUGGAAUUCCGAGUGGUAGAGGUGAAAUUCGUAGAUAUUCGGAAGAACACCAGUGGCGAAGGCGGCUCACUGGUCCGGUACUGACGCUGAGGUGCGAAAGCGUGGGGAGCAAACAGG